rnacentral:rRNA from 1 species
UGGGGAAUAUUGCACAAUGGGCGCAAGCCUGAUGCAGCCAUGCCGCGUGUAUGAAGAAGGCCUUCGGGCUGUAAAGUACUUUCAGCGGGGAGGAAGGUGAGUGGUUUAAUACGCCAUUCAAUUGACGUUACCCGCAGAAGAAGCACCGGCUAACUCCGUG